rnacentral:lncRNA from 1 species
GGCAGCAGUUUAUAAAUGAGAGAGGUAGGUUAAGGUUUAUAAAGAAUGUUUAUGCUAAAGGUGUCACGUAGUCUGUAGCUUGAUGGUAAACUUUAUCUUGGAUUUUCAGGCUCCUCUUCUGAAUGUCACUACAAGUUGAAUCAGACAACUUCCUGGCCCUAUGUUCUGGGAAGAAUAGCUAAUAGUCUAUACUCCUGGGGGAAUUCUGUGCCAAAAAAUUAAAAAUUCUGUGCACAAUUCUGCAUAUUUUAUUUGUCAAAAUAACACAGUAUAAUAAUGCCAAUUUCAAUUAUUUUGGUAAUUUUUUUCAAAAUACCUGUCGACAAGCAUGCCUGUAACAAUACAGAUGACUGUAACAAUACAGAUGACUACAACAAAAUAAAAAAGGUUCAGGAAAUUGUGGAUUGCCACGGGCACGCAGGGGCGAAAGAAAAUGCAGGCCUGUUAUUUACCAGGCUGCANGUGGAAAUAGACUAUAUUGGUAAGGGAUGCAAGGAGAGUAUGGGUCACGAUGCAAACUGCGCGCGCACGCACACACACACACACACACACACACACACACACACACAACUAAAAUUAAUCAAUUUAAAGUUUUAUUGGGGAUAAUUACAAGGGGUAAGGGAGCAGCGUUUGAUCAGCUAAUAGAGUUAAUGAAACUUAAAACACACAAUGACUAAAAUAUUUACUAACAAUAUUUAUAAACAAAGAUGCAGCAUUUAGUAAUAACUGAUACUUACAAAUACAAACCAACGCAUAAGGACCAGCAAACGUAGACACUCUGUUUGAAACACGUGAGCUGAGAGAGAGGCUUCGAGGUGAUCAGUACACAGGAUACACAGAAUUCGUUUUUCUUUCUCCUUUCCGUGCCUGCACAUCGCAGGCAGGCCCAUAAAGUACCAACUAUGACUUCAUAGAAGUGUCAUAGGGGACGGGGCCCAAAACCUGUUCGUAUUCGUUUCUGAUUGGCACAAGCAAAGUUUACACCAAGUAGGGGAGCAGGCGCCUCAAAGUCUGGCUUCGCCCCCAAAAGGUGAGGAAAUGCAUAUUGUUUUAGAACGCGUGCAACACUGAAUGACAAAAGAAGAGGCCAGGGCAAUACCGGUAUGGGCAAGUUUUACAGCAUACAGACAGGAACUCAUCUCAACAGAAAUGUUUUUUGAUAAAUAGAUUCCUUACUAGGCAUAUUAAUACAGAACUCUGAGUAAUAAUUAAUUUAAGUAUAAUACAGAAAUUUAUUUCCUGCACCCUUCAGAAGCCAUGCAAAGGCUUGGGGGAGUCAGGGGUAAUGGAGGAGCUGAGGGAGAGGGAAGUAAUUGCUGGGAUGGAGCCUGGGUGUGGACUUAACGGGUUGUUGGGUGUGGAUGGGAGAAGUAUGGAACAGGGUUUUUUGGGGGGGGAGGGGAGAGGGAUUGUUAGGGAGCCUCCACCAGGCAGACCCCAACCCUCUUAUUCAGUCAGACACAUCUGUCCUGUCCUUAU